GCUUUCUCAACAGCUGGUGUAGCUACAGAGAAGUCAGCUUCCUUCAGAAAGC
rfam:Pan troglodytes isolate Yerkes chimp pedigree #C0471 (Clint) chromosome 12, whole genome shotgun sequence.